rnacentral:tRNA from 1 species
GCCGAAGUGUUGGAAUUGGUAGACACGCCAUCUUGAGGGGGUGGUGGGCAACACCCGUGGGGGUUCAAAUCCCCCCUUCGGCACCA